CAACAACUCAUUCACUCGUCAACUCGUCAUUUUUCAUUUCUCCUACACUACACUUCGUAUUUGCUGCCUCCCAUAUGCUGACAUCGGCAUAUUGCCAUAGGUCAGUUACAGCACAUCGUGUCUGCUUGCCAGAGCUAAAGUUUAAGUAAGCGGGUGCAAUGCACGCGUUAAAGGUCGCGUGUUCGCGUUGGCGUUGGUGGGUCGGUUGUUGAGUUUUUUAUGACGCGCGGACGGACGGCAUACGAAUAACCUUAACCUUAGCUUCCAAAAAAGCUUAAACUUCAACCUGUGCUACAAGGCGCUCACGAAAAACAGUUGGUGUAUGAUAAGAGCGGCAAAAUCGAAUUCGUUUCCACAAUCAACUACCUCGGCGGCAACAGUCGAAAUUUCCGUCAACGAACAACAAUAAAAACAAGCUCCACAUGUACAUUUGAAUGUGUGUAUGUCGACAGCGGCAACAGUUGAUGAGGAAACAUCAGCAAACAAUGGGCAACGCAGCACAUGGCAACAUCAAAGUGGAAUUUCACAAGAGUAACAACAACAGCAGCAACGAAAAUGAACGCGAUCUCCAAAAAACUUGUGUGCACAGCAGAGAGGUCGUUGACCGUUGUUGGUAUUUUGGUUGUGUCGCUAGCUGACUGCUGUGCUGUCAUUGCGCACUCGCUUGUUGUGGAGAUUGGUUUGCCACCACCGAACUACAUACAUAAUUGGUACUUAUUUAUACAGCAAGUAAGUGACGAUAUGUUGUAUGUCUAUUGACUUUGUAUCCGGCGGGGUUUAGCAAUAACAGUGUUGAAAAAGGUAAAAUAUUUUUCAAUAAAAAAGUACGUCAAAAGAGACGUGUAUUUUUUC